UACGGGGGGAGCAAGCGUUGUUCGGAUUUACUGGGCGUAAAGAGCUCGUAGGCGGCUUGUCACGUCGGGUGUGAAAGCCCAGGGCUUAACCCCGGGUCUGCAUUCGAUACGGGCAGGCUAGAGUGUGGUAGGGGAGAUCGGAAUUCCUGGUGUAGCGGUGAAAUGCGCAGAUAUCAGGAGGAACACCGGUGGCGAAGGCGGAUCUCUGGGCCAUUACUGACGCUGAGGAGCGAAAGCGUGGGGAGCGAACAGG
rnacentral:rRNA from 1 species